rnacentral:rRNA from 1 species
GAUGAACGCUGGCGGCGUGCCUAAUACAUGCAAGUCGAGCGAACAGAUAAGGAGCUUGCUCCUUUGACGUUAGCGGCGGACGGGUGAGUAACACGUGGGUAACCUACCUAUAAGACUGGAAUAACUCCGGGAAACCGGGGCUAAUGCCGGAUAACAUUUAGAACCGCAUGGUUCUAAAGUGAAAGAUGGUUUUGCUAUCACUUAUAGAUGGACCCGCGCCGUAUUAGCUAGUUGGUAAGGUAACGGCUUACCAAGGCAACGAUACGUAGCCGACCUGAGAGGGUGAUCGGCCACACUGGAACUGAGACACGGUCCAGACUCCUACGGGAGGCAGCAGUAGGGAAUCUUCCGCAACGGGCGAAAGCCUGACGGAGCAACGCCGCGUGAGUGAUGAAGGUCUUCGGAUCGUAAAACUCUGUUAUUAGGGAAGAACAAAUGUGUAAGUAACUGUGCACGUCUUGACGGUACCUAAUCAGAAAGCCACGGCUAACUACGUG